GAUAAAUAGAUGAGGUAAAUGAGACAUAUAAGACAGAUAAGAUAUAUAAGUAAGAUAUUGAUGCUUCCGCAAGUGCACGGAAAUAUCGACCAAAUUUUUCGGGGCUAUUACGAAUUAGUCUUAGGAUUUUAUUUCUGCAUUUAAUUUAUGUACUCUGAUUCGAAGCCUUCAGGUGUAUUGCAAUUCAGCAUCUAUUUAAUUCCAGGGUUUUAGAGAUUUUGGAAAGAGGGAGUUGUCAUAAUGAAGAGACAAGAAUAGAGGAGAAAGAGGCAAGACUAUGGAGAAGAAGAAGAAGAAGCUUGAAGAGUUUUCAUCCAUGGUGUCAAGUAAAGAUGCAAUUAGAGACCCAUUGAGUUGCUUCCAUUGAUAAGGUAUUCAAGUAUGAAGAUUUAGUUGUCGUUACUCGAGUCGGUUGUCACUCUGAUACGUAGCACUCUGGGGGGAACGAUUUAUGUCAUUCAUGAUGUUGUUGUUUAAUUGUGUUAUCUUGGUUGAACAAAAUGAUAAGUUAACUGAAGAUAUUUUAUUGAAUACUUGUUUAAGUGAUUCCGCUGUGUUUUAAUAAAAUGAGUUAUUCUGUUUCAAAGGUGUUAUGUAUCCGCUUUAUGCGACGAGUUGAUUUGUUUUGUUUUUAUUAUGUGACGCCUCAUUUGUUUAUUUAGAAAUUUUGAAAACUCUGAUUUAUAUAUAUUUUCCGGGUAGAAAUGGGGUGUUACAUUAGUGGUAUCAGAGCAGGUCGGUCCGUCCGGCCAAGUUGUCGAGUCAGUUGAGUUGUGUGACAGUUGAAUGAUGUCAGUGUUUUAUUCCUUAGUACGCGACAUGUGUGUGAAACACUGUCAGUACUUGUUUGCUUUGUUGUAGGGAUUGGUUUGAUUACAAGUGGGGGAGAAGUUUUACUUCUUGAAGAUGUUUCUGUUGUAAGGGAUGGUCAAGUAUGUUGAGUGACGAUGUUCAGCACGGUUGAGGACUGAGAACUUGUCGGUGUGUUUAACCUUUGCGUCUGAUGCCGGUGUUUGACAAGUGUUAAAGUGAUAAAGUUGCGGUAGACUUUAUGUUAGACUCGCAUAAGUGAUUAAUGGACGUAGUCGAUGUGUGAAGUGUUGUGAAUCGCAAAUCCGAGUUGGAACUCGAGAAUGCGCGUAGCUUGAGUUUCGGAUAUCUAAUUUGAACUCUGUUUGAAGCAUCAGAAAGAUAACGAGAUGAAGUGUAUUAUAAGAAUGAUUUCCGCAACCGUAAUAGAGUUGAUUUUGACGUGAUGAUGUUGGGAUGGGGUGUAGUUUGUCGUCGAAGUUAUUUGAGGAGUUUGGGAGAUAACAUAAAAAUUGUCGAUGCUUGACGUUGAUGUUUACAAUUCGAAUAACGUUAGAGAUUUGUAUCUUGGGUUUCGAGUAUCAGUUGGACGUACCGUUUGAGCCUACGAAGAGGUGAAGUUGUAUUCUACCUUAUGGAAAUGUGUAAUCCUGUUGAAUAAGAAUGGUUAUAACCGCAAAUGUCUGAAGCGAAGUUAAGCAGAACUUGUUGUUGAUGAUUAAGAUGAGAGAACGAGAUGUUCGGUAUUACAGAUGAUUUGAGUACUGAUGACUUUUAAGGAAGAGUGAAGUAGUAGUGAAGAAAAAUUCAGACUUAGGGAUGAUAGAAGUCGUAUUUGGGAUGCCAAAAGUGGCGGUGUGUAUAAAAGGCUGUAUGGAAUUUCUAUCGCCAGUUUAUCGUGAGGAUGACUUCGGUUCAGAAAAAAAAUUGUGUGAUGCUAAGUGAUUGUGAAUUAGACUUUUUUAUUAUGUUUGGACGUCGGUGUCUCAUUGACAAGAUCGAUUGAUAAGGUAAGAUGUUGUAGGAAUUGUAAAAACAUAAAGUGAAUCAUUGGAUUACGUCGUGUUAAUGGAUUUAAGUGGAAAUUUGGAAAGGACGUUAUUUUGAUGUAACAACGAUUUAUACUCCACUAAGGUUGUCGGAUACUAAUUGGCAAAUUGGGGAACUGAUCACCCUCAAUCUAUUGUUAAUGGUAGACGAAACUCGUGUUGGACGUUAUAGAUUUGUCUUGUUGUCUUAAUAGUGUAGAAAGAAUAUCUAUAUUUUAUCGUGAAGAUAGUCGCCCAUUAGCUUGUGUAGCUUGGUAAGAGGGAUGGUUGAGUUAGAAUUAGAUGAGAUUAACAAUCGGUGUAGUACGUUUUAUGCAAGCGAGUGUCACAAAGUGAAAGAUUGGAAUUAUCAAGUAAACAACGAUGUGAGGAUGAGUAUUGAAGAAAGUUUGUAUUGGAUCGAGAAUUCGUGACUUUUAUGUAGUAUAGAACACAAAAUUUUUCCAAAAUACCAAUGUAUACAACUUUACGAACUUCGUGACGUUUAUGUAGUAUAGCACACACAAAUCUUCCAAAAUACCUAAUUUUGCAAGUUUAACGAAUUUUGUGUUUUUUAUGUAGUAUAGCACACGAAUGUCUUCCAAAAGACUAAAUUUUUCAAGUUUAACAAAUUUCGUAACUUUUAUGUAGUAUAGCACACGAAAAUCAUCCAAAACACGAUAUUUUGCCAGUUUAACAAACUUCCUGACGUUUAGGUAGUAUAGCACACGAAGUUUUACAAGUUUAACGAACUUUGUGUUUUUUAUGUAGUAUAGCACACGAAAAUAUUCAAAAAUACCGAUGUAUGCUAGUUUAACAAACUUCGUGACUUUUAUGUAGUAUAGCACACGAAAAUCUUCCAAAAGACCAAAUUUUGCAAGUUUAACAAACUUAGUGAAUUUCAU